rnacentral:rRNA from 1 species
UACGUAGGGGGCAAGCGUUGUCCGGAAUCAUUGGGCGUAAAGCGCGCGUAGGUGGCCCCAUAAGUCCGCUGUGAAAGUCAAAGGCUCAACCUUUGAAAGCCGGUGGAUACUGUCGGGCUCGAGUCCGGAAGAGGCGAGUGGAAUUCCUGGUGUAGCGGUGAAAUGCGCAGAUAUCAGGAGGAACACCAAUGGCGAAGGCAGCUCGCUGGGACGUGACUGACGCUGAGACGCGAAAGCGUGGGGAGCAAACAGG